rnacentral:lncRNA from 1 species
ACAUUUUCAGAGAUUUUGAAUGGGAAGUUCCAGCCUUGAAACAAGAUUUGCAAGUGCCACUAUGAAAUUAAGCAAUUCCUUGUAUCUGCAAGGAUAACCCCACAAUAAUGUAGGAAAGAACAUUAUUGAUAGAGCAAGCUACUUUAAGAUCUGAUUCAAUGCCAAAAAGGAGAAGUGCAAUACUCUAUGUUCUGCUAUUUGAAAACGCCCUUGAAAGUGUGACAUCUACCAAGGUUUCCACAACAAUGUAGUGGC